rnacentral:lncRNA from 1 species
GCUCACUGCAGACCCAAACUCCUGGGCUCAAGCAAUCUUCCUGUCUCAGCUUCCUGAGUAGAUAGGACUGCAGAUGCACACCACUACACCUAGCUAAUUUUAAACUUUUUGUAGAGAUGGAGCCUCACUGUUGUCAAGGCUGGUCUCAAACUCCUGGUCUCAAGCGAUCCUCCCACCUUGGCUUCCCAAGACACCAGUUCUUUUAUUUCAUCCUCCCCAAAUCUCUGACUCGGACUUCUAUUCUGGGGUGAAUUUGGGGUAAUCGUGACAAUGACAACAGACAAAAUUACUGAUGCUGGGAGCAGCAAGUUGGGUUUGGAGGUCAUUGCUAAGCUGUAAAAGAAGUGAUUUGACUAUAAACUUUGGCUGGGCCUCCCUGAACGGGAUCACAUACCACAAUGGAACCUCUGACAGGAAAGGUGGCUUGCCUCAUGCCCCAUCGUACUUUUUCAUCAUUCUUUAGAACCAUGGGGGAGUUCAAAUACCAGCUCAGGCACUACUUGCUAGAUGACCUC